rnacentral:rRNA from 1 species
AUGAACGCUGGCGGCGUGCCUAAUACAUGCAAGUCGAGCGAACAGAUGAGGAGCUUGCUCCUCUGACGUUAGCGGCGGACGGGUGAGUAACACGUGGAUAACCUACCUAUAAGACUGGGAUAACUUCGGGAAACCGGAGCUAAUACCGGAUAAUAUAUUGAACCGCAUGGUUCAAUAGUGAAAGACGGUUUUGCUGUCACUUAUAGAUGGAUCCGCGCCGCAUUAGCUAGUUGGUAAGGUAACGGCUUACCAAGGCAACGAUGCGUAGCCGACCUGAGAGGGUGAUCGGCCACACUGGAACUGAGACACGGUCCAGACUCCUACGGGAGGCAGCAGUAGGGAAUCUUCCGCAAUGGGCGAAAGCCUGACGGAGCAACGCCGCGUGAGUGAUGAAGGUCUUCGGAUCGUAAAACUCUGUUAUUAGGGAAGAACAAAUGUGUAAGUAACUAUGCACGUCUUGACGGUACCUAUCAGAAAGCCACGGCUAACUACGUG